AGAAAUCCAGUGACAAGAGAUCUCUCAAAGUAAUCAAAACGUUAAAUAUUUGAUUGCAGACAUUCUUUUUUAUUUUUUGGUCAUUCAUUGCAAAUUUUGUACAUUUACCUCUGCCUAAAAGUAUCUAUUGGUUGUUCAACCACUGGAAUUAUCCCUUUAAAAGUACCGCCUCCAGAGGCAAAACAUAAAGUCCAGUUUCCUUCCUUUACAGCAUCAUAAAGACCUGGAUGAUUGAUAUUUGAUUUGAACAUUUGUUAUUAAUGUUGGUGAUUGAUUAUGAUUUCUGACAUCAAUAGAUUUAUAAAUGACCAUGCUUCCCUUUCUUACUUUCAGUUAUCUGUCCCCCCACUGGUGUGACCUCUGUGACAAGCUGCAACAACAGUGAAAUUACAGUGAGCUGGGACUUGAGUGCAGAGAGCGGAGUGGAAUACAUCAUCCACUCGCAGAACGACAAGAACACUCCUGCUAACUACAACACCUUUCAGACGUUUUACACUGUCAAAGGGCUGCAUUGUGGGGAGCUGCACACAUUUGCAGUUGCUGCCAAGAACUCUGCGUGCAGCAGUGUCUUUAGCAGAGAGACACAUAGUGCAACAGCUCCAUGUGCUCCAACUAACCUGGUAGUCAAAACUGAAUGUGGUGCUAACUUGGCAAUUCUAAACUGGGCUCCCAGUUUAUACGCCAUCUCCUACAGAGCUACCUUUACUGGAACCCAUAACCACACUGUUUCCUGUUCUACUAAUUCAACAACCUGCUCAGUAAAAGUCGACUGUGGACACCAGUACUCAGCAGUUGUGGUCGCUUCUACCGCAUCAUGCAGCAGCAGUUCUUCACCUUUAACUUUUAACUCAGGUAAGUGUUCAGCUUUUGUUUUUGCUUUGAUCAGAAAAAUCACCGACCAGAUUGUGGAAUGGAAACGUUUUCUGCCUCCAAAACAGCUCCCUGUCUGCCUGACCGCCUGCAAGCCGAGCUGAACUGCAGCACCAACAGCUUUUUCGUGCACUGGAGAGGGAGCGUCGGGAAUGUUGGUUUGUACACUGCCAUCGCCAUUGGCAGUGACGGCUCGCGUGUGAGCUGUAAUUCCACCAGUACUGAAUGCACCAUUCACAACGUGAAGUGUGGCCUCCUGUACAGCGUCGUUGUCACCAUGUCAUCUGUUGACUGUGCCGUCAUCCAGGGCUCAGACUACAAGAUCUAUUCAGGUAAAAGAACAUAGUGUGAAGAUUUAGCAUUAUUUAAAAGAGAGAAAAUAUUGUUUAUGGAAAAAAAAGAU
rnacentral:lncRNA from 1 species